UGGGGAAUUUUGGACAAUGGGCGAAAGCCUGAUCCAGCAAUGCCGCGUGUGUGAAGAAGGCCUUCGGGUUGUAAAGCACUUUUGUCCGGAAAGAAAUCCUUGGCUCUAAUACAGUCGGGGGAUGACGGUACCGGAAGAAUAAGCACCGGCUAACUACGUGCCAGCAGCCGCGGUAAUACGUAGGGUGCAAGCGUUAAUCGGAAUUACUGGGCGUAAAGCGUGCGCAGGCGGUUUGCUAAGACCGAUGUGAAAUCCCCGGGCUCAACCUGGGAACUGCAUUGGUGACUGGCAGGCUAGAGUAUGGCAGAGGGGGUAGAAUUCCACGUGUAGCAGUGAAAUGCGUAGAGAUGUGGAGGAAUACCGAUGGCGAAGGCAGCCCCCUGGGCCAAUACUGACGCUCAUGCACGAAAGCGUGGGGAGCAAACAGGAUUAGAUACCCCGGUAGUCCACGCCCUAAACGAUGUCAACUAGUUGUUGGGGAUUCAUUUCCUUAGUAACGUAGCUAACGCGUGAAGUUGACCGCCUGGGGAGUACGGUCGCAAGAUU
rnacentral:rRNA from 1 species